rnacentral:snRNA from 1 species
AUACUCUGGCUUCUCUUCAAAAUGUCACAAAAAUCUUUCGCCUUUUACUAAAGAUUUCUGUGACGAGUAGCAUUUUAAUUAGUCUAAAUUGAAUGAGCUUAAUACGGACUUCAGAC